AUCACCGUCACAAUUAAUUUUUACCAACAUUCUCUCUCCCUCCUUCUCCCUCUCCCUCUCUCUCCCUCCCUCCUUCUCCCUCUCCCUCUCUUUCCCUCCCUCCUUCUCCUCUCUCUCUCUCUCUCUCUCUCUCUCUCUCUCUCUCUUUAAAAAUUUUUCCAGCAAGGUAUUGGAAGUGUGUACAAGUCCUGAUUCGAUCUUUCACAACAUCUAAGGCCUCAAGUCGUAGCUACACACUUGUUAAUAUUUGUAAUUCAUCGAUUUUGAACUUAGUUUUGGGCAUGUACCUAGGUCACUGGGCGAAUUCUUUUGUCUUGAGUAUAUUUUCAUAAGGAUUUGGUAUGUUGAGUAUAUUUGGCAAGUUUUAACUUAUUUUGGGACUUUGAAAUACUUUUGAUUUGGAUUUGUGAUGCAAUUUCCUAAGUUGAAUGUAUGGUUUAUGUUAGAAAUUGUGUAACCCAAAUUCCUGUUAAAAUAAAAUACAAUAGGCAAGAUGGGGGAUCUAUGAGAGCAAAGGUUGUAGCCCAUCGUAAAUCUAUAAUAAGCAAAAUAUUGGACUAGGGUUGUAACUGGGGGUGCAGGGGCCUCUCGGCCUCACAGUACGAAAUAAGCUGGAUAAGUAAAAUCUAUAUAAAAGUUUACUUCCUCUA